CAGCCGUAAACUAUGCUCGCUAGGUGUCAGGCAUGGCGCGACCGUGUCUGGUGCCGCAGGGAAGCCGUGAAGUGAGCCACCUGGGAAGUACGGCCGCAAGGCUGAAACUUAAAGGAAUUGGCGGGGGAGCACAACAACGGGUGGAGCCUGCGGUUUAAUUGGACUCAACGCCGGACAACUCACCGGGGACGACAGCAAUAUGUAGGCCAGGCUGAAGACCUUGCCUGAAUCGCUGAGAGGAGGUGCAUGGCGUAGACGUCU
rnacentral:rRNA from 1 species